GAACUAUCCAGCGGCAUACCUAGGAUUUUUGAGUCGUGGAGGCUCAAUUGACCUUAAUCUAAAAUUACUUUUGAAAAUUGGGCGGUGGGGAGUGUUGGCCAGCCAAGAACACUCAAGGUCAUAAGAUGAGGUUGUGGAAAUGAGGAUGUUGCGGUGGAUGUGUGGGCAUACUAUGAGAGAUAGGAUUAGAAAUGAAGAUAUUCGGGACAAGGUGGAAGUGGCCUCGAUGGAGGACAAGAUAUGGGACGCGAGACUGAGAUGAUUCGGGCAGAAGAGGAGAUGCGCGGACCUCCCAGUGCGGAGGUGUGAGAGAUUCGCUAUGGAUGGUUUCAGGGGAGGUAUGGGUAGGCCGAAGAAGUAUUGGGUAAAGGUGAUUAGAUAGGACAUGGCGCAGUUGCAGCUUACCAAGGACAUGACCUUAGAUAGAAGCUUGUGGAGGACACGGAUAAGGGUAGAAGGUUAGUGGGUAGUAGAGUGUUGUUUGGCUUAUCCUUCCUAACUCGUAGUUUUAGUAUUUCUCUGUAGUUUCUUGUCCUUUGACUUUUGUUCUCUUGUUCUUCGUUUAUCAUACUAUUUUGUUGCAGUUAAUGUUCCUUUUACCUUUUUGACUUGCUUUGAUAUUGCUUUAUCUUAAGCCUAGGGUCUUGAGUAGUGGAGGAGAAGGUUAUACAUUAGCAAUUAUUCCUGUUUCCUCCUAAAACAGUUUUUUUAACCACCUUCUCCCUACGCUAGAAGCUUCAAGUAUGUCAUGAAAAUGAAACAAUUUAUAUAUACACACAAAAAUUAUACAUACCUUAUUUAUGUAGCAUAAUUUUCUAAGUAAUUAGGAUUCAAUUGAACCCUUUCAUGCAAUGUAGCUCCGUCCCUGCUUGCAACAGUUCCAUACCAAUGUCUCCAAAAUCUGCAGAAACAUGCAACUCCUAUUUAAAGAUACACAUUUCAAUGGCACCCAAGAGUGUGGUCUAGUGGUCAAUGAAGUGGGUUAGAGCACCAUGAGGUCUUAGGUUCAAUUCCCAGCUGAGACAAAACACUAGGUGAUUUCUUCCCAUAUGUUCUAGCUUUGGUAGAUAGAGUUACCUGGUACCUGUUGCUGGUGGGAGGUGGCAGGUAUCCCGUGGAAUUAGUUGAGGUGCGCACAAGCUGACUUGGACACCACGGUUAUAUGUAUUUAAAGAAAAAAAAAGAUACUCGUUUCAAUGUUCCAAUAGUUAUUUGCUAAAGUCCUGCUGAUUAUGAAAUUUUGACAAGAGAUCUUUCCUUAAAACUGAAGUGAUCAAUCAAUUACUGAGCAGGUACGAGCCUACUGUACCAAUGAUCCUGCAAUAACUCAGAGGGAGAAGAUGGAAUUCUUUGUGUAAUUCUUCGAAGCCGUGAUCCGGGUUUCAACCUCAACUGCUGUUUCAUAUGUCCAAGGAGGUAGACAGGGAAAAGGCAAGAGAUAGUUGCUGUUAUCAUGUGAAGAGAUGAUCGUAGAAGAAAACCCCCCACAGGAAUGUAGUUUUGCGAAUUAUAUUAUUUAAAUCAGAUCUUUGGAGAGGAAAAUGACCUUCACCUUAUUUCACAGACCCCCCCCCCCCCCCCCCACCUUAUUUUUUUUUGCCCGUGGAUUGGCUUGAAUUUAAGUGAUAAGUUCAGUUUAAGCUUUUCUGCUUUGGUAAUUAUUGAUUCAAAUUUUCGGUUUUUAUUUUC